rnacentral:rRNA from 1 species
CCUACGGGAGGCAGCAGUGGGGAAUUGUUCACAAUGGGCGCAAGCCUGAUGACGCAACGCCGCGUGGGGGAUGAAGGUCUUCGGAUCGUAAACCCCUGUCGAAUGGGACGAAAGACUCGCGAGUUAAUACUUUGCGAGAGUGACGGUACCGUUAAAGGAAGCCACGGCUAACUCUGUGCCAGCAGCCGCGGUAAUACAGAGGUGGCAAGCGUUGUUCGGAAUUACUGGGCGUAAAGGGCGCGUAGGCGGCCUUCUAAGUCAGACGUGAAAUCCCCCGGCUUAACCUGGGAACUGCGUCUGAUACUGGGAGGCUUGAGUAUGGGAGAGGGAUGUAGAAUUCCAGGUGUAGCGGUGAAAUGCGUAGAUAUCUGGAGGAAUACCGGUGGCGAAGGCGGCAUCCUGGACCAUAACUGACGCUGAGGCGCGAAAGCUAGGGGAGCAAACGGGAUUAGAUACCCCGGUAGUCCUAGCCCUAAACGAUGAAUACUUGGUGUGGCGGUAUCGAUCCCUGCCGUGCCGAAGCUAACGCAUUAAGUAUUCCGCGUGGGGAGGUACGGUCGCGAGCGUGAACGUACGAAGGAAGUUAGACGGCGUGAGACGUGCCGACGGACGACGACGAGGGAGGAGG